GCAGACGGCACUUCGGGGGGUGGGUGGAGGCCUAGUUCAGGGCCCUGACCACAGGCAGCAGGAGGGCAGUGCGCACUCAGCCGCUGCGCAGGGCUCUGCUGCCAACAGGACCAUGGAGGCAGNNNNNCCGGCCGGCCAGCCGGCCCAGGAAAGUCCGCACCCAGACAGCCACUGCACCUGCACACGGGGUCUGCCCUCUCUCCUGGGAGACCAGUCCUGACUUGAAGAGGAGGCCAAGAAGUGCAACUGUUUCCAGC
rnacentral:lncRNA from 1 species